CCUUUCUUUCCAUAGGGCCAAUGGAAAUGAGGAAGGAGGAGAGGCAGUGUUUUGGCCCCUGAUUGGUCGAAGAGAGUGACAAAAUGGAGAAAAGGAGGAAAGAACCAUCAAAUCCUGCAGCUGCAUCUGGAAGAAGAAGACUAAGAUGUUCCAGGUUUAAUUACCAGAAUGUGGGAGGCGACCUUGGAAGAGCAGUUCCAGGAGGUCACCAUCUGGCCCUUGGACAACUCCCAGCCAAAAAGACCAGAGAUACAGAAAAGAUACAACAGACGGAGGAGUGGAUGGGGCAGCAUUCUGCAUUGUCAUGCUUCCUUCCUCUUUCUCUCCAGAACCUUGCCCUGAAAAAUUAUCUUUAAUAUAACAUACAAUGAGUCAGCUGUCUAGAUUACAAAACUACUUCAAUGUUUGAAAACAAAAUGGAACAGAAUAAAAUCUGGGCUUGAGAGUUUAGGGUGGAGGAGUUGAGAAUUGAGAUUUCUAUCUCAAAUUCCUUACCACAUUUCUUACUAGAGUCCAAGCCCUCAGGAGCUAACCAUACUAAUGACAGUCAUUCCAUUGUUUCAUUUCUGAACAGUGUUUAAUAGUGUAGCAAAUUUGGAAAUCAUACCUUUUUUCUUUUAUGGAGUAAUAAAAUGACCCCUUUGUGACAA